rnacentral:piRNA from 1 species
UACCAAAAGACGUACAGAGCCUAAGGU